GAUGAAGAACGUAGCGAAAUGCGAUAAGUAGUGUGAAUUGCAGAAUUAAGUGAAUCAUCGAAUCUUUGAACGCACAUUGCGCCCCUUGGUAUUCCAUGGGGCAUGCCUGUUCGAGCGUCAUUUGUACCUUCAAGCUCUGCUUGGUGUUGGGUGUUUGUCUCGCCUCUGCGUGUAGACUCGCCUCAAAACAAUUGGCAGCCGGCGUAUUGAUUUCGGAGCGCAGUACAUCUCGCGCUUUGCACUCAUAACGACGACGUCCAAAAGUACAUUUUUACACUCUUGACCUCGGAUCAGGUAGGGAUACCCGCUGAACUUAAGCAUAUCAAUAAGCGAGGA
rnacentral:misc_RNA from 1 species